GAGAACAAAAUGUUUGAAUUAUAUAGGGAA
rnacentral:piRNA from 1 species